UAGAGUUUGACUCCUGGCUCAGGACGAACGCUGGCGGCGUGCUUAACACAUGCAAGUCGAACGGAAAGGCCCUGCUUUUGUGGGGUGCUCGAGUGGCGAACGGGUGAGUAACACGUGAGUAACCUGCCCUUGACUUUGGGAUAACUUCAGGAAACUGGGGCUAAUACCGGAUAGGAGCUCCUGCUGCAUGGUGGGGGUUGGAAAGUUUCGGCGGUUGGGGAUGGACUCGCGGCUUAUCAGCUUGUUGGUGGGGUAGUGGCUUACCAAGGCUUUGACGGGUAGCCGGCCUGAGAGGGUGACCGGCCACAUUGGGACUGAGAUACGGCCCAGACUCCUACGGAAGGCAGCAGUGGGGAAUAUUGCACAAUGGGCGGAAGCCUGAUGCAGCAACGCCGCGUGCGGGAUGACGGCCUUCGGGUUGUAAACCGCUUUCGCCUGUGACGAAGCGUGAGUGACGGUAAUGGGUAAAGAAGCACCGGCUAACUACGUG
rnacentral:rRNA from 1 species